AAACGGCCGCGUUAGCGUGAGCGUGCUAAGGUAGCGUAAUAAAUAGCCUCUUAAUUGGAGGCCAGUGAAUGGCAAGACUAGGAAUACCUGUACCACAUAUGUAAAAAAAACUUUUCAUCUGAGUGAAAAGACUCAGAUAACGAAGGAAGACGAAAAGACCCCGCGGAACUUUACCUUUUCCAUCUCACAUCGUAAUGAACAGCAAAACGGAAAGGUUUGAUUGGGGCAAUCUCGGAACAAACCAAGCUUCCGAUUUCCGAAAAAGAAUAUACGAAAUUCUAUAAAGACNAAAAAGAAGUUACCCCGGGGAUAACAGCGUAAUCUAACUUGAGAGUACACAUCGAAAGCUAGGUUUGCGACCUCGAUGUUGGCUUAAG
rnacentral:rRNA from 1 species